AUACGGAGGAUCCGAGCGUUAUCCGGAUUUAUUGGGUUUAAAGGGAGCGUAGGUGGGAUAUUAAGUCAGCUGUGAAAGUUUGGGGCUCAACCUUAAAAUUGCAGUUGAUACUGGUUUCCUUGAGUACGGUACAGGUGGGCGGAAUUCGUGGUGUAGCGGUGAAAUGCUUAGAUAUCACGAAGAACUCCGAUCGCGAAGGCAGCUCACCGGGCCGGAACUGACACUGAUGCUCGGAAGUGCGGGUAUCAAACAGGAUUAGAUACCCUGGUAGUCCGCACAGUAAACGAUGAAUACUCGCUGUUUGCGAUACACUGUAAGCGGCCAAGCGAAAGCGUUAAGUAUUCCACCUGGGGAGUACGCCGGCAACGGUGAAACUCAAAGGAAUUGACGGGG
rnacentral:rRNA from 1 species